rnacentral:rRNA from 1 species
AGCGAGCGCUGGCGGCAUGCCUAACACAUGCAAGUCGAACGAAGUCUUCGGACUUAGUGGCGGACGGGUGAGUAACACGUGGGAACGUGCCUUUAGGUUCGGAAUAACUCAGGGAAACUUGGGCUAAUACCGAAUGUGCCCUUCGGGGGAAAGAUUUAUCGCCUUUGGAUCGGCCCGCGUCUGAUUAGCUAGUUGGUGAGGUAAAGGCUCACCAAGGCGACGAUCAGUAGGUGGUCUGAGAGGAUGAUCAGCCACAUUGGGACUGAGACACGGCCCAAACUCCUACGGGAGGCAGCAGUGGGGAAUCUUGCGAAAUGGGCGAAAGCCUGACGCAGCCAUGCCGCGUGAAUGAUGAAGGUCUUAGGAUUGUAAAAUUCUUUCACCGGGGACGAUAAUGACGGUACCCGGAGAAGAAGCCCCGGCUAACUUCGUGCCAGCCGCCGCAGUAAUAC